AAUCAAAGAAAAAGUCUUUCAACUUUGGUCUACACGAAACGAAUUUGCUAAACCAAAAACGUUUGGUCUUGAGUGGUUUCUAGUUUCUUAUUUAUUUGAUACCCCAAAAAUAAAGAAAAACCAUUGACUAACACGGUUUGAAAUUGAACAAAUUUGUAAUCCCAAUGAACAACAACCUAACUACAAAAAUUGGUGCUUACAAAGUUUUUUGGUGGUUCAUAUCAAGUUAGUCUUCUCUUUUUGGUUGAAAUGUAUCGAUCAUACCAUGUUCAAAGUUAUAAUACAAAAUAAAUUUGGUUUUACGUACUAGAAGGGGUUCGAAUGACGAAUAUAAUUCAAAGGUUACAUUCGUGACGGAACCGCAGGGUACGAUUCCAAAAAUAAUAAAAGAGUUUGUAUAUCUAUGUGAGAUUUUGGGACUCUAAUAGAAAUGCACCAUAGUUUGAACUUUUUUCAAGAAUCAUAACUAUUCUAUCGAGAUAACACUAAUUUGACCCUAAAGAAUAUACGUUCUUAUGUGUAGAUGCUCUUCUCCAUAAUAUAUGUUGGAGAUAUGCCAUAAUACGUUGACAACAUUAGGCAAAAAGGAACCGGGUUCGAUAAGUUGAGGAAUACCAAACCGAACACCAACGACCAACUUGGAGUCGUACGUACGUGGUCCAAAAAGAAAAAAAGAAACUCACUAAUCAAAUAAUCAAUAAGAUACAAAAGAAGAAGAAGAAGAAGACGUAAAGCUCAGAUUUGGAGCAUAACGAACUCCACGUCACGGCCAAACCUUUUCUUCCCAUACCAUUGACGACGUCUUCCAACAGUAACCCUUCAUUCUUCUUUCUUCAUACGAUUCCACUCCACCCUCACAUUCUCUUUUUUGUUUUCUUCUUCUUCUUCUUCUUAUGAGUUUCUCUUUUUUUUUGUUUUGUGCAACAAAAUGAAUGGCUUGUGAGUUUUUUGACAUAGAAGUAAUCACGUAUGGUCAUCUGAUGUCAUGCAUGAGAUAUAUAGUUGCAACUUGUAGAUAUAUGGACAAGUUUGUGUAAAGAAAACUUGCAUCCACGAUUUUUAAAGUAUUAUGCAUGUUGUAGAAUUGAACACGUGGUUUAAAAAUGUCUUAGAUAACCACGUUUGCAUAAAAUUUAUUUGGGUUUUAGAUUUUCCUUAUAUAGCAACUAAUCCACGUAAAUUCUUAGAUUGCUAUUAAUGUUUUUUUCUUUGUGAUCUUGUGUGACAGCAAAAAUUGAAAAAGGUAAUAAUGUUGACUUGUAAAUAAAGUAAGAAAAUUCUGUCAUUUCAGAAGAGGAAGUAUGUCACAUGUAAAAUGGAUUCAUAGAUACUUUUCCAUGAGAACUUCCCACAAGGAAGCCAUUGACCUCACCUUUCUCUAUUUCCAGCUAGAACAAAUUUUUAUUUUGUUUUAUUUUUGAAGUCACAAGAACUUUACGUAUAAUAGUUGGGGCUACAUCUUAAAGAGUAUUUUAAUUAAUUUAUAAUAUGCUUGGAAUAUUCAUAAUUUAAAUUAUAUAUGGUAAAGUAUCAACCUAGGCUAAAAAGGUUUGAAUAAAAAAGAUUUAACUGUUUUCGAUUUUAUCACAAAUUCAUGUACAAGAAAACUUCUAGAAAAAUCAAAACAAUUAUCCAGUUCCGAAUUGGCAAUGCACUAAUUAACACAAUUUUAGAUGACAUAUAAUUAGAAAAUAAUUUUUUUGAUAACGUUAUGUACAAAAUAUAUACAUAUUUCUUUCAUAUUAAAAAAUAUAGAUUGAUGAAAACAGAAGGAUAUGGAUUAUAACAAAGGUUUUUAAUUUUAAAUAGAAAUUUUAAAAUCAUCAAAAAUUAGGUAAAUCUCAUUACAAAUCCAUAAUUUAAAAUUUGCCGAAAAAUUAAUACUUUUACAAAUUCAAUAAAAUAUCUUAAUUAAUAAUAAAAAGUUUUAUCGAUAUAUUAUUAGUUUAUACGCGUUUUUUUGUUGUUGUACGUGGGUAUAAAAAAUAUGCAAAAUCAGUUUAUGUGUGAUUUGUAGGAUUAUUCAAUAGUCAACAACUUUUUUAAUUUGUUUGAGUAGCAUUAGCAAUUCUUAAGAGGAACUCUUUUUAAAAUUGUUUAAACUUUAAACAAUAGCCAUUAGAUGAAGCCGAGAAUCAUUAGUAGUAUUCCAAGCGAAAACACAUUUAAUUUACAAAUAUGUAAUGUUCUCAACGCAAAGAUGUUUUGGUAGGAGGAAGCAUGAUGUCUCUUUCAAGAAAUGGUGUCUAAUCCAAUAUGAAACUAUUCUCUCUUCGUCUAGAUUUGAAGUCUUUUGUGAGACACAACACACAAGCAACUAAAAAAAUAUAGUUGUGAUUACAGUAGCAACCAUGUGACAUAUAAUUUAUGAAAUAAAUCCAUUCCAUAAAAAAAUAUAAAAUAGUUUACAUUCAUAUUGUUCAUUUGAUUCAUUCCAUAUACUUAAUGCUCAAUUAAUAUAUGAUAAGAAAAAAUACAAUAUGGCAAGUUUGAGUAUUAUAAUUCUUACCAUAUUUUUUCUUGAUUCUCAAAUUCUAUAAUUUCCAAACAAAACACGCAAAUUCCUAUAUUAAUCACAAAAUUAAAAAAACAGUUCUCAAAUUAUCUUCCAAAAAUGGUCUUUACCUCUAUUUUGAGUACUUUCAGAUUUCUCCUCCACGUCUACUUGAUGGUCAUGGAUUGGUUUCAAAGACGAUGCGUUCUCUUCUUGUUCACACGUAAGUACUCUUAUUUUUUUUGGGUGCAAGUAUUCACACGUAAUUAUAUUGUAUAUACAAAAUUUCAUAUAAUAAUAAAAUUCAAGAAAUUCUCGUGAAUCUAUUACAAAAGAAAAAAAAAAUCACUUAAUUGAUAAUGCAUAUCUUAAUUUCUACAUAAAGAAACACAUAUUUACACACUUGCUUCUGUAUUAAUAUUCUUAUUUCCAUAUUUAUAUGAUUUUGAGUAUUAUUUUUUAACCCUCUUACAAGAAAUACAAAAUCAUUUCUAUUAUAUAUAGUAGAGAAGGGUUACAAGAAAAGCCAUCAUCGGUCUUUAUAUUAUUAUCUGUAUAUUCCUCUCUGAAUUCAUAAAAUGGGUGCAGACGCAAACGCAAUACAAACGAACGGUCACGAUCAAGGCAAGUUAACCGGCGGAGAAGAGAUCCAACGGCUGAGAUGUUUCGUCAAGAACUACGAAUGGGGCAAACUCGGACCGGACUCAUUGGUCGCGAGACUCCAAGAAGCGAAUUCUGGAAGACGGGUCGACGCGGCGGUUCCUCACGCCGAGUUUUGGAUGGGUACUCAUGAGUCUGGACCGAGUCAUGUUGGAUUCGGGUCCGGGUCUGAUAAAUGCAUGGUUACAUUGAAAUCGUGGGUUUUGGAUCAUCCGGAUUCACUCGGGUCUAGAGUCGUGGACAAGUGGGGUUACGAUCUCCCUUUCCUCUUCAAGGUACCAAUUCCUCUGUUUUUUUUUCAUUGCUCUGUUUUUGUAAAGAUGUUACAUUUGACUCUGUUUCUUUUCUUCAAAAAAAUUGGAUUUUUUUACAGUUAUAACUUGUAAAGUUUUGAGUUUUAUAUAUAUAUAUAACAAUCAAAACAUUGGAUUUUACAGAUUCUAUCUUAUGAUCAAUUGCUCUGUUUUCUUUGCUCUGUUUUGGUGCCAAUACAUUUGUGAUUUUGACUCUGUUUAUAUUAUUAAAAGUUUGGGCUUUUCUUGUUUCUUUCUUUAAACCAUACAGAUUUGUAUCUAAAAGUGUUUGAAAUGUGAAAUUUUGUUUAGGUAUUGUCAGUGACGAAAGCAUUGUCGAUCCAGGCACAUCCAAAUAAGUCAUUAGCAGAGAAAUUGCAUAGAGAAGAGCCUCUUCUUUACAGAGAUAAUAACCACAAGCCUGAGAUUGCUCUCGCAGUCACUCCUUUUCAAGCCCUUUGUGGUUUUGUAUCUCUUAAGGUACUUUACACAUUUCAGAUCUCUCUCUCUCAUUCUCUGCAAAAAACAUUUGUGUCAGUCUGUGGUUGAGAUCAACAAUAAAGUUUUGCCUAGAUCCGGUUUGAUUUAAAGAAACUGUAUCGUACCAAUUUCCUGGUUUGAUUUGGUAUGUUUCACAUUUGAGUUACAUAAAGUUGAUUCUGAUUUGGUUCUGCCAAAGCUAAAUUGAACCGGUUCUGUACCUUAUGUUGAAUCAGGAGCUGAAGGAGGUUAUAGCCAAUGUACCAGAGAUUACAGAGCUUGUUGGAAGCAAAGCUGCAGGUCAAAUCUUCAAAGUCCAUGAACACGAUGACGAAGAAAGAAUCAAAUCCGUUGUUCGAUUGAUCUUCACGCAGUUGAUGUCUGCUAACAGCAGCAAGACAAAGCAAGUGAUAUCUCGGAUGAAGAUUCGUCUAAUCUCGGAGACAAAACACCGUGAACUGUCGGAUAAAGAGAAGUUAGUUUUGGAACUGGAGAAACAGUACACUGGUGACAUUGGUGUGAUCUCAGCCUUCUUCUUUAACUAUGUCAAGCUUAAUCCUGGAGAGGCUUUGUAUCUGGACGCGAACGAGCCACACGCUUAUAUCUCUGGCGACUGUAUCGAGUGUAUGGCGGCUUCAGACAACGUUGUUAGAGCUGGUCUUACUCCUAAACACCGCGAUGUUCAAACCCUUUGCUCCAUGCUUACCUAUAAACUGGUAACUUUCUUUACACGUUAACCUUUUGAUAACUUUCUUUACACGUUAAACCUUUCGGUUUUUAUGGUAAACCAAAUACGAGAUUGUUUUGGUUUAUCGAUUAACCGGUAUAUCGGAUUUUGUUCAGGGGUACCCGGAGAUUUUGAAAGGAUUCCCUCUGACUCCUUACGUUACUAGGUAUCUACCACCAUUUGAUGAGUUUGAAGUUGAUCACUGUGAACUUCCUCUAGGAAGAUCUACGGUUUUCCCGGCAGUACCGGGUCCUUCGGUUUAUCUGGUUAUUGAAGGAGAAGGGAAAUUACAAACCGGUUCGACUCAAUUGUUGGUUAGCCAAGGAGAUGUUUUGUUUGUUCCAGCUCAUAACGAGAUUCACAUAACCGGAGAAAGUGCUGUAAUGAAGCUUUACAGAGCUGGAGUCAGCAGCAGAUUCUUCCAAACGUUAUAGGGCUAAACAAAUAUUUAAGUACAUUAACUGUACUAAUUACUAUAUUACAUAUAUAUAAGCAAAUCAUAGAGACCAAAAUCUUUAAAUUGGUAGAAACUGUGGUUUAAUGUGUAAUCCCCCUCAAUGGCCUAUUGCAAAUUAAAAGUUCAAGGGGUUUAUUUUCUUAUAUUUACUUUAUUUUAUUUUAUUUUAUGCAAUAUUUGUUAAACGAAAUAUAUGUAAAAUGAUUGUAAAAGAUUUAUCCCAAUUUUAAAAGUAUUUCAUUUUCUCACCAAAAUAUUGGGGGUUGUUACUCUCAAACUAUGAUGAAUCAAGAAGUCAAGGCAAUUAAAUGAUAGAGUUUAUGGUAAUUCAAUGUCAUAUGAGAAACUUUUAUGAAUUUCCAUUAAAAAUUCAGUUGACAAUUAUGGGUUGUUCAAAAUUUCUUAAAUAUGUUUAAAUUAUAUCGUACUUUUGAAGUGAGAUCCUAACAUGAAGUCAUGAUAAUAAUGUACAAUCUCACAAUAGUCAACUAAGAAUUUAUCUUUACAUAUUUCAUUUUGAGAUAGAUAAGAAAUUUGCAAAUUUAUCUUCCUUUACAAAAAAUGUAAAUAUCUUUCCAAGAAAUUAAAGUUUAGCAAACAUUUGUAGUUUUGAAAUCUUAUUCAAAAGUGAAUUUGUAUAGUUUUACUAAAAAUCGAAUCAAGAUAUCGAUUUUAUCAUAUUGUAGUUUGGUACGAUAUAUAAUAUAGGAGCAUCGUUAUUGCAAACCUCUUAGACUUGAAAAAAAGUAUCUUAGCACAAUGUUUUGUAUCUUAUGCUCUAAGAGCCUUGAAGUUAAACGAUGAAGCUUCUUUAAUGGAGUAAAAUGAAGUAUAUAUAUCUUCUUCACAUUAAAUGCAGUGGUGAUGAUGGCUUUCUAACGACUAUUAAAAUACACUCCAUGAAGACUCAUCCCAUAUUAUAACUUAUGUUGCAAUCAAUCAAACCCUGUUAUGGCAAAACGUGGAAACGUUACGAUCCUGAUCCUCUAUGAAACAUCCUCACAUCAGACUUUAGAGCCUCAAACACUUUCAUCUAGUACUCUUUGGCUCUGCCCUUUAGAACCAAACCUCCCACGAAUCCCUCAGUAACCUAAAACAAAUGCAUACCCAACAAUCCCAAAUCUGGGGGGAACCAAAGGUGGCACUUUGUGCACGUACGUUGGACUUAUUAUAUGCGACAAUGAUGGUCCACACUCUUAAGUCAAACAAAAUUAGGUACACCCGUGUCUCAAAGCACUUGAUCUGCUGAUGAGGACAUGACUCACCCACUCAACUCAACUUUUAAGAACUCGACUGGUAAUACCGUACUAGUGUUUUCACAUCAAAUCUUGUGCUUUAUGUUAACAUUUGACAAACUUGGUGAACUUAAAUCUUUAGUUUAGUAGUAUAUGUGAAGAGGAGGAGGAGGUUUCCGAGUUGCAAAAUUCUGCAAAAACUCUCAAGAUGUAAACUUACUGCAAGAUUAUAUAAAACCAUCAUUCCAAAUCUUGUUUGGUCUCAUUGAUUCUGUGAACAACUUACUUCAUUACAAACUAGUUUAUGUUUAAUUUUGAUCAGAGACAAACGUACAAUGAAAACCAUCAUUCCAAAUCUUUAUAAGCAAGUUAAAGAAAGGCGAUGAGAGACCAAGAUCGCAGGUUUACUUGCACUGGUUGUUGGUUAAAGCUUUGGUUACACAAUGCGAAACGAUUCCAACCGGGCAGAAGAGAAGGCAAAGCGAAACAGAAUGCCUUGUUUCGAUCUGGUUCAGUAAACCAUCAUUAUAAACUUGCCUACAAGAGAAAACCCAAAACACGCGUUAUUAAGAAACAUGUUCGGAUAAAUUCAGAACCCGGUGAGAAGAAGAAGAAGCCCGGAUAUAUAUACCUGGCAGCGAAAAGAUCGACAACAAGAAGAUGAAUCCACGCAGAAGCAAGAGUCAUUUCACUUGAGAACAUUUUCGCUAUCCCCGACAACUGCAGAUGAAAUUAAACUUUAGAGAUUGCAAUGAUACAUUAUCAUAGACAUUCUUGUUUUUCACAAAUUUCAGGAAAGCGGAUAAACCUCUGGCAACAUGUAUUUACUAGAAAACAUGUAUUUGAGCGUCUCGGGUGUCCAAGAAAGGUAUAACAAAUACGCGUAUAACACGCCUAAGACGAUAUACGGUAAGCUACUCUCCAUACACUUCUUGGUCUGCACAAAGAAACUCAAUUUAGAUCCAAAUUCCUUUGAGUCUGCACAAGAAAUUGCAAAACUUGCAACAAAAAACAUAAUCUUACAAUCUCAGCUUUUGGAGCUACAACCAUAAGAGUGUAAAAGGGAAGAACUGCGGUAGUUCCAACUGCAAACACACUGCUUGCAAUCUGAGAUGUAGCCAACACUGCAACAUAAACAUAUCAGAGAUCAAAACCACAAAAAUGAGUGACAAAGUUUCAAGCUUUAAGUUCAAUGAAAGUGCAGAGAGAGACACAUUACAUGAAGCUUGUACGCCAGAGACUUUCUUGUAAACUACAGAGCAAGAAUUCGAUGAAACAUUGGGGUGAAGCGAGAUUCUUGAUCCUCCAACGAAGCUCCAAGGAUUAUCUAAUCUAAUUCUUGAAGAAUCAAGAAAAAGUUCCGAUCUUUUAACAGUAAAGUUGCGUUUCAUCAUCUGAAAUCAACCAAAAAAGAACGAACUUUUUUUACUUCAUCUCUUAAAAAUUCAGAAACUUUCAUAUAGAAACAGAGGCUCUCUAAAACAGGUGACCCACGGAGAAGUCAAUUCAAUGAUAUAUAAAAAAAACAUUCUGGGUCAAUUCAAAACCCAUUAAAUUCUCCAAAUUGAGUCAAAAGGUAAAGACUUUAAGGUUAUCUAUAACUAUAGUAAGAACCUCAACACAGAAUCUAAACCGACAAAAGAUUCACAAACACAGUAUAAGUGAAAUCUGGAGAUAAAAGAAGAGUACCGAGAGAGAUGAAGAAGAGAAAGGCUGAGAAAUGAGAGAAGUAAAAACCAUCUUUGAUUCAAAACUUCAAUACCCUUUGCCAAAAACUGAUCCUUCAUUACCUAACUUAACCAAACUCUCUCCAUAUAUAGAUGGAACACUGAGUAAUGAUGGUUUGAGAGGUGUUGUUUCCACUGAAUACGGAAGUGGAAGGGUGAAAGAAAAAAGUUGUCUUUCACUCUUUCUUCCUCAGUGUGUCCACAAUUAUAUGCAACACGUUUUUUUUUUGCUCAUACAGUCCUCCUCUUUAAAAAGUUUUCAUCUUUUACGAUAACUUUUCCUUUUUAAUAUAAUUUAGACAUUUUUUUUGACAUCGUAUAAUUUACACUUAUUUUUUUAGUAUAAAAGUUAAUAAUUCCUUUCGAUUUCAUCUUAAAGUUUUAAACUACAUUUUUUUAAAAAAAAAUAUUGGUUUACUUCAAUGAAAGAUAUCAUUUAGUACUUUAGUAUAUAAGUAUAUUAACGUAUAAUAUGUUUUAGUGAAUCAUCGUUAUAUAUAUAGAAUUCAACAUGUUGAUCGACAUUUAUUUAUAUGUAUUGGCUUUGAUUGGUAACACAAUUAAAAGUGGUUGGAGAUUCAAUCAUUCCUUAACUUAGUUACUAAUUAGAUGAACCAUCGAAAUAAACGUAUGAAACGAAUAGUAGAAGGUAUGGUUAAAAAGAUGGUAAAAACUUAAAUGAGGCGGUUGCCAACUGCUCAAAUGAGGCGGUUGCCAACCGCGUCGUUUAUAUGAUGUUGCCAAUAUGAGCCAUUAUGUGAAAGGGAGAUGGAAGUGAAAGUGAAUUUAGGUGGACAAGAGACAAGUCUAGUUUCAGAAAAAGACAAAGGUUGGUGUUGCUCCCAUUAAUUUUGUAAAACAAGAAAAAGAUAGAGAUAUAGUUAAUGGCUAAUAAUCUAAAUAUAUAACUCACUGCUUGAGAAAGUGGAUGAAGUAAGAUAACUUGGGUGGGCUAUUUGGUAUAUAACUUAAAAUUUAAUUAAUGGGCCUUUUGAUCCACCCAUUUUGUUUUUCUUUUGUAACUCCCACUUACACUGUUCAGUCAACAAAUAAAAACAAAUUUGUGGUAUCUUUCAAUCUUGUUGUGGGAUUUUCGCAUUUCGAUGUAUUCGAUGGUGGCCAAAACUAAGAUUAAAUGGUAAAAAGAUUUUUUCCUUAAUUUUUAAAAAGAUUUGAUUAUAUUUUCUGAUUUGAAAACUUUUACUAUAUCUAUAACUUCAAAAAACCGCAAAUUCUUACAAGCCUCAUAUAUCUUAUCCUAUUCCGACAAGUACCUAAACAACAUUACUACAAAUUAUACAUUUCACACUAUAGAGUUCAAAUAUGUGAACUUGGGCCAAGUCAUUUGAUUGAGGAAAUAUAUAAUAUGAUCCACAAGAUCCUUGAAUAUACUCUUGAGUAAAAAAACAAAAGAAUAUUCGAGACCUCUUAUCAAGAAUCCUAUCCUAAAGAAAGCACAUCCACUUAUGUUUCCAUCACUAGAUUUCAAGUGGGUCAUCAUCAUCUUUUACUUCAAGAUAUUGUUUAGUCUAAACCUCUCAAACCUCCUUAAUCGUGUGAUCUAAUCUAUCUUAUGUGUUUCUUCAACUUGUAAAUUUUCAUAUUUGUUGAGUCACAUUGUCCUAUUUUCUUUAAUGUUCAUAUGCAAUUCAAAUUUCAAGAGAUAUUAUAGAACAUUACAUAUUUAUUUCAUCAGAUAGUUGAGAAUCCGAUAGAAAAUGUCUCGCAAACCGGAAAACAAACGUUAAAUCCGGAAAUUAAAACUUUAGAUAAAAAUUAAAAAGAAAAAAGGAAAAAGCAGAAAUUGAUAUAAAAUCAAAGGUGGAGGAGGGGAUGAGAUAAAGUUUUUGAUAUGUUUUACAAGAAACAAAGCAAAGCAAAGAGAGAGAUUAAGCAUCGGUGAAGCGAGGGGGCUUGUAGGCAAUGAAACUGAUGCACUGCACUUGACGGGUGUUGUCGAAUCCGAUGAUCCUGAUGAAGGCUUCAGGGUACUCCUUCUUGCACUCGUUAACUUCCUUCAACACUUGUGCUGAGUCAGUGCAUCCGAACAAGGGUAGCUUCCACAUUGUCCAGUACCUUCCAUCGUAGUAUCCGGGGGUGUUACCGUGCUCACGGUGCACAAACCCGUUCUAUAAUAUAAAAAAAAACCAAACCACACAUGUUACGACCACAACAACAACAACAACAACAAAAGUCCAAGAUCUAAGCUAGUUUAUGUUUUUUUCUUACCUCCAACUCGAAUUCAACACAGGGAAUCCACUUGUUGCGGAGGAGGUAGUCAACUUCCUUUCCCAACUCGACCUCGGAAAGGUCAGGAAGGUAAGAGAGAGUCUCGAACUUCUUCUUUCCGAUCGGAGGCCACACCUUUGAGAUUCAGACAAAACAACAUAUGAGUUCAUGUAAUUCGAACGAAAAAAGAAGAAGAAGAAAAAAGAUGUAUGACCUUCAUGCAGCUAACUCUUCCGCCGUUGCUUGUGAUGGAAGUAAUGUCGUUGUUGGCCUUGCGGGUGGAAGGGAAAGCAGCGGAGGACUUAAGUCCGGUGAAAGGAGCGACCAUAGUGGCCUGAGCCGGGGAGGCAACCAUUGUAGCGGAAGAGAGCAUAGAGGAAGCCAUUGUGUUCUUUCUCUUUUACUCUUUUGUGUGACUGAGGUUCUGUCUAGUGCUUUGGUCAUCUAUAUAUAAUGAUAAUAACAAUGAUAACAAUCACUUGAGUGAUCGUAGGGUCGAGGAAUCAUGAGGCUUGAGUGGGAAAGGAUUUAGACCGUUGGAUGAUGAGUGUGUGGAUAUGUGUGUGUGUGUGAGGUUUUAAGUCACUUGGUAACGGCCACAGAAGCCUAAGGUAAGGUCCUGAGAGACCCUUAUCGGUUUGUAACGCUAGAACAGUGCCACGUGGAAGAUAAAUCUUAUCGUUAUCUAUGAGUG
rnacentral:lncRNA from 1 species